GAUGAAGAACGUAGCGAAAUGCGAUAAGUAAUGUGAAUUGCAGAAUUCAGUGAAUCAUCGAAUCUUUGAACGCACAUUGCGCCCGCCAGUAUUCUGGCGAGCAUGCCUGUUCGGGCGUCAUUUCAACCAUCAAGCCCCAGGCUUGUGUUGGAGCCCUGCGGCUGCCGCAGCCUCCCAAAACCAGUGGCGGGCUCGCUAUCACACCGAGUGCAGUAGUUUACUCUUCGCUCAGGGCGUGUGGCGGGUGCUAGCCGUGAAACCCCCAACUUCUCAAGGUUGACCUCGGAUCAGGUAGGAAUACCCGCUGAACUUAAGCAUAUCAAUAAGCGGAGGA
rnacentral:misc_RNA from 1 species